CAAAAAAGCAAUGGUGAACUAUUUUCCAAAGGACAUCAGCCUCCUGUUUCCGCAGUAGCCAGACAACCACCUGUGGGAAACCUGCAAGUUAGGACCUGAGAGCAAAAGCACUCUCCCCUCAUAAUCAGUGAGUUUUGGGUGGAAAUGUAUUUGUUAUUUUCUCUUCAAAAUUAUCCUUUAAAUAUUUGUCUUUGUUUUCAUGUUGAUUGCUAUAUUUGUUAUAUGUGAGAAAAUCAAUUUACAUCAUUGAUAAAAACCAUGAAAGUUCCAUUUUAGCUGCCAAGAAGACCAAAGGUAAAAAGAGAAAAGAAGGUAAAGGACCCUGGAUGAUUAAGUCCAGUCAAAGGUGACUAUGGGGUGUGGCGCUCAUCUCGCUUUCAGGCCAAGGAAGCCAGCGUUUAUCCACAGACAGCUUUCCAGGUCAUGUGGCCAGCAGGACUAAACCACUUCUGGCACAACGGGACACCGUGACAGAAGCCAGAGUGCACAGAAACGCUGUUUACCUCCCCGCCGCAGAGAUACCUAUUUAUCUACUUGCACUGGCGUGCUUUUGAACUGCUAGGUUGGCAGGAGCUGAGACAGAGCUCUGGGAGCUCACCCCAUCAUGGGGGUUCGAACCCCCGAUCUUCUGAUUGGCAAGCCCAAGAGGCUCAGUGGUUGAGACCAGUGGUUCUCAACCUUGGGUCCCCAGAUGUUUUUUGGCCUACAACUCCCAUGAUCCCUAGCUUACAGGACCAGUGGUCAGGGAUGAUGGGAGUUGUAGGCCAAAAACAUCUGGGGACCCAAGGUUGAGAAAGGCUGGUUUAGACCACAGCGCCACCCGUGUCCUUGUUCACAAUAAACCCGGCUUCCUCUUAUAAUUUCUGGUGCUUGACUCUUCCUUGGCCUUGCCCCUAGAAUGCCCAUAUCAGAAGCCAGAGUGGCAAUGUCUCCUGUUUCACAGCAGCCCUCGUUUCUUCAGAAUGGAUAGUUUUGUUCUGUUUUUAAUAUAUAACUCUUUAUUGGAAGCUGUAAAAGGAAUGCAGUUGCAGCAAAUAAUGCAAAUAAGUCGUCGUCUUCUUCUUUGGCAAUCUCUUGUAGCCAAGCAAGAUUGUCUUCCAUAAACUCGGUUUUAACAGUGAGUCUGUAAGUGACUGUGGAGGCCAAUUCUGGACCCACACAUCCUUCCACAGUGGGAACAUUGGUUUCUGGGUGGGAGUUGAUCACGGUGUGGAUUUGCCAAGUGUGGCUUCCUCUUAGCACGUUUCUCCCUUGCGUCCUGGAGAUGAUUUGUAAAUACAAAUAAGUAGACCAUAACUGUCUUAUGUCAUUCACACAUAAGGAAAGCCAUAAUCCAAUUUACAAUGAUAUCUCAGGCAUGUGAUUCAUUGUUAGUGGUCAAUAUGCAUCUUCUCAGUUUGUGAACAGAUUCAAACAAGAAAGAAAAGCAAAAACAACAGUUAACACUGGGCAUCGCACAGCCAAAUAUUUCUAGUGUUUUGGCUUAAUUAUAACAGGUUUGUAUCUCAGCUAUUGCAGCUGAACAUCAAACCAAAUGGUUGGGAUAUUCGGAAUGAAUAACUGAGCAUCUUUCUUGCCAAACAAGAAAGGCUUGUUUUGCCUUCAUUGUAAUUGGGAGAAUUGCAGCUGCCAAUGACUCACGGAGCAGAUGUUUCAUUUCUCGCUGCUUGGGGCCAUUCACAAACCCUGCGCGCACGCGCACGUGGCGGAAGUCCUUUCGCCCCUGCUGCUCUCCCCAAAUCCAGCCCCUCUUUCCGGGCUGGAUGCCGCCGUCUUCUCCGCCACCAGGGGGCUCUGCGCGCCGUAAUGGGCUGAGCAAGGAGCGAGCAAAGCAGGCGGCGACGCGCAGCGGCUGCCCGGGCCGGGAGGCGGCGCGCCUGUGCGCGCAAGCAAGGUAGGAUGCCCGCCUGCCGCAUCGUAAGGAAAACUGGUUCCCCUGAAUGGCGACUGAAUAAUGUUGCAAAACAGACCCAAUGACCCAGCUCUCCCUCGCCCACGGGCACGCGCGCGCGCGCACAGCGAUGCUGGGAAGUCCCGGGGUUUCUGCAAAUCCGUGGCGCCGGCAGCCAGCCCUGCAAGCAAUUCCAGCGGCGGAGAGCGCCUUUAUUGCGCAAGGCAGGAAGAUGGCUCCGCGGAGGGGCUUCCUCGGGUCCUUCCCGGGCACGCGCUUCUCCCAUUAAGUCGAAGGCAAUGGAGCUGCUGCUGCUCCGGGCGGGGCGCGGGGAGCCGUCCUUAACUUCUAAACGGAGAUGUGUCGGGGUUUGGAGGGAUGUUGGACAUUUCGCUCUCUGCCUGCCCCCCCAAAACCCACUGGAGGGCCAGGUAGUUGCGAUUAUACAAUGGUCAAGGCAAGGUAUUCCUGCUAUGCUCAGACGCACGGACUUUUUAUUAUAGUACAGUGGUACCUCGGGUUACAUACGCUUCAGGUUACAGACUCCGCUAACCCAGAAAUAGUACCUCGGGUUAAGAACUUUGCUUCAGGAUGAGAACAGAAAUCGUGCUCUGGCGGUGCGGCGGCAGCAGGAGGCCCCAUUAGCUAAAGUGGUGCUUCAGGUUAAGAGCAGUUUCAGGUUAAGUACGGACCUCCGGAACGAAUUAAGUACUUAACCCGAGGUACCACUGUACAGAGCAGGGCGCUCCUUCCAGCUAAACCCUGCUUAUGCUAGUGCUCCUUGAGACUUGCGUUUAUCUCACAGACAUGAGGGAAAAGAACCGUAUUUUUUGCUCUAUAAGACUCACUUUUUCCCUCCUAAAAAGUAAGGGGAAAUGUGUGUGCGUCUUAUGGAGCGAAUGCAGGCUGCGCAGCUAUCCCAGAAGCCAGAACAGCAAGAGGGAUUGCUGCUUUCACUGCGCAGCGAUCCCUCUUGCUGUUCUGGCUUCUGAGAUUCAGAAUAUAUUUUUUCUUGUUUUCCUCCUCCAAAAACUAGGUGCGUCUUGUGGUCAGGUGCGUCUUAUAGAGCAAAAAAUACGGUAACUGUCAGGGAAAGGGUUGACCCCCCUCUCCCCCCCCAUCCUUUUCUGUUGCAAAGCCCCGUCUCCCAAGAACACACUUUUUGCAGUGGUGAAAGGGCCCGUGGGGUUCCAGCUUUCAUAUCAGCUGGCCCUUAGUUGCAUGACAGACAGGUGAGCCUCUUGGGCAUCUCCUUGGGGACUCUCCUGCUUUUCCUAGGUGACUCAUUGUGUCCAACAAGAAAUGCCUUCCAUUCUUUUCCCAGCUUCCUCUCAGUGUUUCUGGCCUCCCUCUCCAGAUAUGUUUUCUUAAAGGCUUUUGUUUCUGUGGCAAGCCUGAAACUGCUCCAGCUUCUUCAUUAAAGAGAAAAGGCCAACCAUAACACGGCUUGCAUUGAAGGUGAGCCACACAGACUGCUUGGAUUGCAACCUUCCAUUGAAAGAGCUCUGCAGCUCACAGAGAACCAUCCAAUUCCUUGGCAACCUGCCGUACUAAGGCUCCCAGUAUAUCUCUAUAAUUAGCCAGCGGAAAAGAAAAUGUGAGCUCUUAGCUCUGGGACUUAUGAGGAAGAGAGGUCCUCUGGUCAUAUACAGAGUGCAUUUCCACAAACACUAAGUACUAGUCACAACCCAACUAGGAUUGUGGGAUUUAAGAGCAAGGCUUCCAGAUGGGCAGAUGCAAGCUCUACAGAGGCCUAAUUCCCAUCACUGGUUGUUCUGUUUUUUUAAAAAAAAUGAAAUAACCACUGUCAGUUUCUCUAAACACUAGUCCCAUUUCAGACAGAUAGUUAGCCCAGUGGUACACUCUGCUCUAUAUGCCACUGCAGUUAUUCUCAGUGGUUGUAACUGCUGUGGACACUCUUUCAUGGUCUGGGAAGCAGCAUGUAUUUUUUCUUCUUCUCUACUACAUGCUGUGGCUCACCCUCUAAUUCAAAAGGCUGCUGCUGAGUGGAUCUCAUCACUUUGCAGCUACACAACAUGCCAUUAGCCCCUGCUUACACAAACCCUUUUUUCUGCGUCCAUGGAAGGAAAAAGUGCAUUCUGCCAGGUGACCCUGUAAAUGUAAAACAUAGACACAGACACACAAACUGGCACUUGAACUGGGAAUUGUCCCCCUGCCCCGCCCCGGUCUACUUGGUACACGGCUGUUUCCCUACACAGAGCCGAUCUGUUUCUAGAACAGAACGCAACCUGGUCUCCGUGUCCACUCUCUUUGCUGCAAUGCCCUUUCCCCAACUCUUCCGUUCCACAACUUCAGAACAGAGUUUGUGAUCAUCUGGAGGUAGCGGAAAUAGUGGUGAAGUUUGACAUCAGACAGAUUUUGCCAACCUCACCCGAGUUGAGAUGGAUCCUUUGAUCUUAUGUUUUAUCCUUCCCUCGCAGCUUUAAACUGGUGGCAUAAGAAUUGCUUUCCCAUGACUUGCGCAACUUCCCAUCAUAGCCAGGUUACAGGCCACAGGUUGGUUCAGAGUCCUGAAGAAAUCAGUGGGAAAGAAUAAAUUGGCCGUGACUAACUUUUCACAACAAAUUGGGGCUUAAGUCCAACUAGUUUUGUCUGGGUGAUCUAACCCAGGAGCGGGGAACCUCAGGCCAGGGGGCCACAUGCAGCCCCUCCCCACCUGACUUUCAGAACUCUUCCCAGAGCACACAGCCCCUUUGAGUGGCUUUGGCCUGGCUGGGAUGUGACCCUGAACUCUGAGCAGGGCCAGGAAGGUACGCCAAGGGUCAUCUAGUCCAACCCACUGAAAUGCAGGAAUUACAGCUUAAGAAUCCACGACAGAUGGACAUCCAACCUCUGCUUUAAAAUCUCCAAGGAAGGAGAGUCCACCACCUUCAGAGGGAGUCUGUUCUUCCUGAUGUUUAGUCAGAAUUUACUUUCUUCAUACUUGAAUCCAUUGGUUCGGGUCCCACCCUCCAGAGCAGGAGAAAACAAGCUUGCAGUUCUUGUUUGUUUGCUAAACUUUCUUUUCUUUUCUUUUUUUUGCACAUCCAUAAUAUAGCUCCAGUUUUUCCUUUUGUUAACUAGAUCCUUUCAGAAUUCAAGGAAAUUGCAUUGGUUAGUUAAUUCAAGGAAAAUGAAGGUUAUUAUUAAUGAGAUGUUACAGUUGCAGUUCUCAUGUUAACAAUUUAUAUAUAACAUGCUGACACUUAGUCUUAUAAAGCUUUCUUCUGCAGAUUUCUACAGUAACCAACAUAAGUUCAAAAUAUAUAAUGUUAAAUGUCGAGCCUCAAAUGUUGUUCUUAAAUGUUUUACAUUAGGCAUAGGCAAACUCGGCCCUCCAGAUGUUUUGGGACUACAACUCCCAUCAUCCCUGACCACUGGUCCUGUUAGCUAGGGAUGAUGGGAGUUGUAGGCCAAAAACAUCUGGAGGGCUGAGUUUGCCUAUGCCUGUUUUACAUUGAUAAAAACAUCUAUCGUGAAGUAAAAUUCCCUUCUGUAAAGAAAAAAAAUGUUUUAAAAUUAUUGUUUGGCAGCAAUCUUUCUCGAUUCAAGAUGGCCACCGAUCUGUGAGGCAGGGUGAGGCAGCUGAUCUCACCAUUUUAUAGUUUUAUUGUCCUUCUUUUGUUUUAUUUUAUUGUUUUACUGCCCUAUUUUAUCAUUUAAUGGUUUUACUUCCUUGUUAUCUCGCCAGUCUAAUGCAAUCUUUCACAUCUAGCAAAUUUUGCUCAUACUUUUGAAAGGUCCAUCCCAGCUCAGUUUAUUCUCUGCCUUUCCAAGUUUCCAAAAUAGCUGCCAGACCUUUGUCCCUAUAAAUGUCAUAGAAGCCUAUGAUUUCAUCUUGUCAAAGAAAAUAAAGAAAAAUACAAAAAGGAGUACUGAAAUAUAUACCGUAUUUUUCGCCCUAUAGGACGCACUUUUUCCCCUCCAAAAAUGAAGGGGAAAUGUGUGUGCAUCCUAUGGGGCAAAUGCAGGCUUUCACUGAAGCCUGGAGAGUGAGAGGGGUCGGUGUGCACCGACCCCUCUUGCUCUCCAGGCUUCAGGAAGCUCUGUGCAACCCUUGGGAGACAGGCGCGACUUCGCACCGGUCUCCCAAGGGUUGCACAGAGCUGCCUGCAUUCCGAAGCCUGGGGCACGCUGAAGAGUGCGCCCGGACUUCGUGCAGCUCUCCGCAAGCCUUGGGAGACCGGCCCGGCUCCCUAGGCUUGCGGAUAGCAGGCUGUUCUGGGGUCUGGGGUCUGGGGAAGCUUGGGCUUCCCCCGUGCCAGCCCUGUGCCUGGGGGGAAAAUAUUUUUUUUUCUUUAUUCCCCCCCCAAAAAAACCCUAGGUGCAUCUUAUGGGGCAGCGCGCCCUAUGGGGCGAAAAAUACGGUACAUGACUCCCUGGCCUAAUUUUACCUUCCAGCUCAAAAUUAGGAAAUCAUGUCUCCAUCUUGCAUUAGGCAUGUUCCUUCUCUGGCAGUUUCCCCAUCAAACUCAGUAAUACAAUGCUUAUAUUCAGGCAGGUGUGUAUAGGAUUGCACUGUGAUCAGCAGCCAGCAACUGUUGCUAUCUCCCUUGGGUUAAAAAACAAGCAAGCAGAAAAAGGAAAUUGUCUCUGCAAUCAAUAAAGCAAAAUCAAAUUCACACCUACAUGUAGUAAAAGGAUAUAUAAUUUAAACAGGAGAGUAAGAGCCUACAGGAUAGCUCAGUCAGUAGAGCACGAGACUCUAAUCUCAGGGUUGUGGGGGGUUCUUGCCCUACAUUGGGCAAAAAGAUUUCUUCACUCUUCUUCUUUCUUCUUCUUUGGCGAUACCUUGUAGCUGAGUAAGAUUGUCUUCCAUAAACACAGUUUUAACAAUGAGUCCGUAAGUGACUGUGGAGGCCAAUUCUAGAUCCACACAUCUUUCCACAGUGGGGACAUUGGUUUCCGGGUGAGAGUUGAUCACAGUGUGGGUUUGCCAAGUAUGCCUUCUUCUUAGUACGUUUCUCCCUUGUGUCCUGAGUUCGAGUGUCUUCAAAGCCCAUGACACCUUUGGUAAAGGCUGUUCUCCAACUGGAGCGCUCACAGGCCAGUGUUUCCCAGUUGCCGGUGUUUAUACUACAUUUUUUAAAUUUGCCUUGAGACAAUCUUUAAACCUCUUUUGUUGACCACCAGCAUUACGCUUUCUAUUUUUAAGUUCGGAAUAGAGUACUUGCUUUGGAAGACGAUAAUCAGACAUCCGCACAACAUGACCAGUCCAACAAAGUUAAUGUUGAAGAAUCAUUGCUUCGACACUGGUGAUCUUUGCUUCUUCCAGUAUACUGAUAUUAGUUCACCUGUCUUCCCAAGCGAGGUGUAAAAUUUUUUGGAGACACCGUUGAUGAAAUCAUUUGAGGAGUUGGAGAUGGUGUUUGUAAGUGGUCCAUGUUUCACAAGCAUACAGUAAGGUUGGUAGUACAAUAGCUUUGUAUACAAGCAUUUUGGUUUCCCUGCGAAUGUCGCAUGGAGAUUCACAUUUCUUCACUGCAGGGGGUUGGACUAGAUGACUCUCGUGGUCCCUUCCAACUCUACGAUUCUAUGACAGUUCUAACAGCAAAGUGUAAUAAAGAGUAAAGGCAAAUUGUAAUGCACAUAUUCAAAAUCCUAGUGCAGCCUCAGAGCUCCUUUAAUAAAAGCUGUGACUUGGUUGUUGUUGUUCUUGGCACCCCUCUGAUUUGAGAGAAAAUGCCUCCGGGGGCAAAGUCAAACUGCUGGAGAAUCAUAGCGCCUGCUGUGGCUGCAGAAACCGGGAAUUCAUAACUGCUGCAUCCCACAUUAUUCUUGCUGCGUUAGCACCACAAAGUGAUCUCCCCGGGGUGCAAACAUGGGCAGUCCUGGGCUGCCCAGACAACAAGACACAUCCUCAUGUAUUGAAAUAAGCCUGUUUCCCUUUUUUCUGUCUACCAAGGAACUUGUGUGUUUACCUAAGGAUUUGUAUUUUCAGAAAUAGAGAAGCAACGAAUGAAUUCAUUCAGCAGUCCUGGGUUACAACCAGAAGCCUGCAUGGGACCUAGUAGAGACUUAGUCACUUUUAAAGUAGCCAGAAUGGGGGGGGGGGACGUUCCUACCCCCAAGGUGUAUUGUGAGCAGAUUCCUCAACAGGGAGGCCACGAGUCAGUACUAUUCAGAAGACUGGAUAAGCCCCCAGAGCUUCUAGCUGCUAUCUCACCAUACUUGGCCAUAGAGUUCACAGAGAAGCCAUUUCUCCGUCCCUCUCUGCUUUUAUUGCUCCCCUCUUUCCAUUGCCCCCCUACCCAACUGGUUGCAAUUGCUGCACUUGGGCUGAGCGUGGAGAGGUCUCUACUCACUGGAGCCAAUGAGUUGCUAUGCUGGCAUUCGUGAAUAGUUCCAAAACACAGCUUUUGCUCUUGAACAGUCAUACACUUGCAGGCUGCCGGGGGGGGAGGUAGUGUGGGGGAGAGGUUGCUAAGAGAGUGCUGGGUUUUUUCAAGCAAGUAGUCAGGCAAGCUACAGGCGGGUUGUCUCUUGAAAAAGCAAAAAAGAGAUUUGCUGAAUCAGGGAAAUACCACUGCCUGCCUUUGCAUACUAUUAUGCUGCUACUUCCUCAGAGAGAAAAAUAAAUUGGGAGCUGUAACAAAAGAAACAAGAGCUUCCAUCUUGCGGUAGGACAGUCUGGGCCUUGUUUUCUUAAGCAACCAAGAGUUUCCACCAUCCAUAUUAAAAGUUAGAUACCCUCAGUCUGGGCAAGUGGGAACCCAAACAUGGAAUAUUUUCUUGGGAGAAGGGACAGAUCUUAGCAAACUGCCUUCAUCUAACCAGGCAGAUAUGAGGAGCCUAACACAAGGUUAAGCCUAGUCCUGCGAGCAAACUGUCAACUUCAGGUUUCUAUUUUCAGCUUUUAAUUAAAUAAAAGUAGGAUAAAAAGAAGCACAAAGAUUUAAAAAACAAACAAAUGAUUUCUAGCUAACCUCACACUCAAGUCAGUUCCUCAGUUAGUUUCAGCAGCCUGCAAUAAAGUGCAGUAUCGUUUUAUGUGCAAAGGACAUAGAAGUUGAACAAGCAGAGUUCCUCAGGGCCAAGGGAGGGCAUAACUAAAAAACACCCCCCCCCCAUUUUUAUGUCUCAUGUUUCAGGAGGAGCAAUGAUGGCCUGCUGUCUGAUCACGCCUGAGAUGGGUGCCCAGCACUUAUCAUUCAUUACAGGAUCUUAGGGAAACAGGUGUGUGGCUUGAGAAGGAUCUCCUCUUGUGUAGUUAAUCUGAACGGAUUCGCUAAGCAGGAAACAUCCUCUUGCAUAGACCCUGAGCUGAGCUCCAUAUGUUUCACUGUGCAGUGUCUUUGAGGAGACUUUGGAAUUCUUAAAUGACCUGAAAGGUUGGAGCUGGUUCUCUGACACAGGGGCAUUUCCAGGAUGGCAUUCGUUCUCUUUCCCAGCACUCCUGUGUGCUACAGAAGUUUUGCAAAGAGAUAUUUAAGUGAAUAGAGUUGCCAAACAGCCUCUUGGACAAUUGCUAGAAUAAGAGAACAGAAAGCCAGAAUUCAGCCACACUGCCUCCUCAUUGACCAGUCCUGUCAUGCAGGGAAAGAAGCUGGUCAUAGCAUGGGGGGAAAGUGAUGGCAAAACCACUGAACAAAAUCAUGUUUGUUUUUUUCAUAGCAGAUAAAGGAGACAGGCCAGUUAGAAAUAUCUCACUCGCAUUCCUGCACACCACACAAAAAUGCAAGGAUAUAUGUUAAUUAUGCACAAGGAGGACCAAACAAGUUCCCCCCACCUUUCCUAAAAUUAAGAGGGGCUCAGUGGCUGUUUAUGUAAUCCCGCCCCCCAGUAAUUAGAACAAGAAAAAGGAGGUAAUUAUGGAAUGUGAGUUUGCACAAACCAGAUUGCAUACCUAUGUGGCCAUGGAAGUCUGAAUCUUCAAGGAGUCUUGUUCCUCCACAAAUUGCUAAGAUCUCAGAGAAAGAUCAGUUCUUCUGGUGGGGGGAAAAUCUUACAGCUUUGUACUUACUAAACAAAACCAAAUGUUUGGAGGCCAACGCAUGCUACAGGAAUAGAAAUACAUUCCAAAACCAAAUUAAACAAAGGCCUGAAACCCCGUAGACAUCCUUCUGCUGUUUUUAUGAAGCAUUUGGAUUCUCAUAUUUCUGUAAGUUUAAACCAACUGUUGGAGCAGCCAAUGUGCUUUGGCAAAAACACAUCAAGUCCUCUCUGGGUCUCUCUCUUACACUCAAGCAGUCAUAUAAACAUAAUAUUCUUUUUAAAAAAGUUUUGGAAGUAGCCCCCAAAGCAAUUUUUCUCCUGUCUGUAGUAACAGGAGUCCCGAGAUUCAAACCAUUCCCUGAGGUAUUUCAGCAGAGCUGCCAGAUCAGCAAUAUCCCAAAGCCUAGUGGUAUGGAAUGAGUUUGGUGUGUGUUUAUGAGUUUAAAUCUGAUUCUUUAUAAAGGUACUGUUUUAAAAUGAUAUUCUUCCAGCCAAUUGUAGUGCUGAAAACUCCUAAAACUAAGAUUCAAGGACAGUAAUUUGUCUGGAUUACUAGACCACUCCAGCAGCCAGCCAACCUUUUGCAAGUGAAGAUAAGAGCACACUCCUAAGACACCUUGGUUCCAGUACCAAGGACCCCCACCCGGUCUUCCUUCCCAGUGAACCAUCACACAUUGCUCAAGGUUGUGUUCCACCUGCUGUAUUUGUUUGUCCCACGCUGAUUUACAGUUCAAGAGCAAGUUUGUUUUUAGCUAAAAACCUACUUGAAAAACACAGUGGCAUUACAGUGGUCCAGUUUGCAUGUCACAGUAAACCGUAGUUGAUUAGUUUACCAUGAAAACGCUGAGCUGGGCCACUUUGCUUCCCCUCCCCCCAAGCCCACUGGAGAAAUGGAGAGCUUAGCUUAGUGCUAUAUCAUCUGCUGUGGAUCAUAAUUUGUUUCAUCCAAGACCAUGGUUUAUUUGGAGGGUUCUAGAUCAUGCAGGGAGGAAGUUCCUCAUUUCUUUUUAAAAAUAAUUUUUAUUGCAUUAAAAAAAAUUACAAAUACACAAUUACAAAUACACAUAAAACUCAAACACACCCACAAAAAUACAUCUUCAUUUUUUCUUCAUUUACAUUCAUAUUCUAUAUCUCAUCUAAACUUAUCCAUAUCCAUCGUACAUUAAUUGACUUCUGUCUAUCUCUUUACGGCUUCUUCACCUCUUUUAUUCUGUAUUCAAUAUAUAUUUUACCUUUUAUUUAUUUUUGUGAAAUUCAGUCAAAGCACAACCAUGUUUUGAUUUGGGAACCAUGUUUGUGCAAAUAAUUUUUAAAACAAUCUCAUUUCACACUUUCCACCUUGCACUUCACCUCUGCACUCCCUCCGGUGAGUGCCUGCACAUGGCUUGAGUACUCCGAACACACAGUUAGGGCUCACGCCUCUCGCAAGUGUUAAUGAUUCAAAUAACAAUAUUUGUUUUGCAUUCCACCAAGUCCUAAAAUAUAUUGUUUGUCACUGACUAAGUCAUACUCAGAGCAGGCCCAUUGAAAUCACUGGACCAAGUCCAUCAAUUCAUUUCUGUGCAUGACUUCACCAGACACAACCCUAUGUCACUGGAGAUGGGGCAGCUGACUGAGGGCUGCACUCACCCUUGGUCCAUCCUCUGUGGGGGCCGCCCCACUCUCCCUUAUGCAUAGACAAACACCGGCAGGCAGGCUGAAGCAUCCAGGCUCCCUCCUCACCAGCUGAGGUGGGUUAUUAUUGCCCCCACUCAGCUCCUCAAAUGGUCAGACCGAUGACCAGGUGAGAUUUAUAUCCCCAUCAUGGCACUUAGUUCCAUACCCCAACAAGGCUGUGUUUAUCUUAAUGUGUCCCCGUCCCCCGUCCCCCCCGCUUUUGGCUCCUGCUGCCAAAUUGAUGGGGUCUCGGAGAGCCGGAAAAAUUGACUUGUGGGGUAGUUUACAUCCCCAAAAUGAGUGUUGAGGAGCUAGAAGAAGCUUCUAAAUGUCUACUUCUCAAUCUCCUGCAGAUCUUUCUGGAAAAAAAUCUGAAAAAAAUACUGUACUUGAAAGGAUAACAGGAAAAUGUCAAGUCUACUUUUGGGAAAUUGUAUGAACUAUUAUUUUCAUGAUUUUGGGAAAAAAUAUGGAACACAGUACUGUUUUUAUAUCAUAUGAAUGAUAUUUAGAAAAAAUGCAACUAAUUUUCAGUGAAACAUGCAUAUGGCUUAUUUUAUUUUAUUUUGCACAGUGCCAGUGACUGUGGAAUAAGCGGAAAAAUGUUUAAUCAAAAACUGCAGGUGCUAUUAAGCGACUUCAUUGUCUUGUCUAUCAAGUGUGAACUUGCAGAACAAAUUUACUUUGGGGAAAUAAUCCACGAUUUCACAAUAAAAAAGGCAAGAAGAAAAGUUUAAAAGUAAAUUGGUCAACUCAAAAAUAUAUUUGCAGUCACAUGAUAGAUUUUUAAAAAAUCAACAGAAAAAUAUAUUUAUUUGUACCAACCAAAAAAUAUUCUGCAAGCUUUGGGAAACUCUUCAGACUGGAUGUUAAGUUAAACAAAAGUAGGGGGCGGGAAAUGGGGUGGGGUGGGGUGGAGGCCUGGUAGAAAUGGCCAGUAUGGGCCAUGGUGUCAUAUCAGAAAUGCAGAAAAUGUAAUUUCAUAAUUAAAACAGGUAUUCACAUGUGGGUUUCCUUAGUGGGACUGCACAGAGCCCCAAUGAGGAGCAAAAGUUACAGGCAAGCAAAUCUGAACAUUUGUUCCACUUAACAUAAGUGGGACUUUUCUCUCCAGACUAAUUUUCUCUCACGCAGGCCUGGACUCUCUCUCAUAAUAGGGCACACAGUUAGGAACUGCAAGGAAUCUGUGCCGUCUUGGAAUGCAGCCACACGAGGGCUGAACUUUUAUAGAUCAAGGGAGAGCAAACCAGGUGCUAAUGCAAGUCGAACAGCAAGGGCAUGAGGAAGAAAAUUAAGAUGUCCUUGGGUUGCAUAACUACCGUAUUUUUCGCUCUAUAACAUGCACCCGACCAUAACACGCACGUAGCUUUCAGAAGAGGAAAAUCCGUAGGCAUGCCACCCGUAGGCAUUCCCUCCAUAACACGCACAGACAUUCCCCCUUACUUUCUAGGAGGAAAAAAGUGAGUGUUAUGGUGCAAAAAAUACGGUAUUUUAACCCAGAGAAAUUAUUCCAGAAUGCAACUCUUUUAGUGUUAGUAAUUUUAUUAAUGGACAGCUUGUAUCAAAAAAACAAUGCUCUUUUAAAAACUAUGUAGAUAUUCGUGCUGUUAUUAUUAACUCAUCUAAUGUAUUUAUAGAAUCUAGUAACAUUUGCCAGCUAAAUGAGGGCAGAUCUGACAAGCUUGUAAAAUUCCAUCAGUUUAAUUUGGGUUCACAUAUUUAGUUUCUCUUUUCAGCUAGAAGAGCCAUAAAUAAUCUAAGAGAAAGAAAAGUGUGCUCCAGAGAUAAUCCAAGAUAACCCUCUCUCAAGAAUCUCUCUCAAGAGCACCAGGACCAGCCUUCUGCAGAAUGACAUGGCCUUAGCUGGG